GUGCCUUCGGGAACGCUGAGACAGGUGCUGCAUGGCUGUCGUCAGCUCGUGUUGUGAAAUGUUGGGUUAAGUCCCGCAACGAGCGCAACCCUUAUCCUUUGUUGCCAGCGAUUCGGUCGGGAACUCAAAGGAGACUGCCGGUGAUAAACCGGAGGAAGGUGGGGAUGACGUCAAGUCAUCAUGGCCCUUACGAGUAGGGCUACACACGUGCUACAAUGGCGCAUACAAAGAGAAGCGACCUCGCGAGAGCAAGCGGACCUCACAAAGUGCGUCGUAGUCCGGAUCGGAGUCUGCAACUCGACUCCGUGAAGUCGGAAUCGCUAGUAAUCGUGGAUCAGAAUGCCACGGUGAAUAC
rnacentral:rRNA from 1 species